rnacentral:rRNA from 1 species
AACGAACGCUGGCGGCAUGCCUAACACAUGCAAGUCGAACGAUCCCUUCGGGGAUAGUGGCGCACGGGUGCGUAACGCGUGGGAACCUGCCCUUAGGUUCGGAAUAACUCAGAGAAAUUUGAGCUAAUACCGGAUAAUGUCUUCGGACCAAAGAUUUAUCGCCUUUGGAUGGGCCCGCGUUGGAUUAGCUAGUUGGUGGGGUAAAGGCCUACCAAGGCGACGAUCCAUAGCUGGUCUGAGAGGAUGAUCAGCCACACUGGGACUGAGACACGGCCCAGACUCCUACGGGAGGCAGCAGUGGGGAAUAUUGGACAAUGGGCGAAAGCCUGAUCCAGCAAUGCCGCGUGAGUGAUGAAGGCCUUAGGGUUGUAAAGCUCCUUUACCCGGGAUGAUAAUGACAGUACCGGGAGAAUAAGCCCCGGCUAACUCCGUG